rnacentral:misc_RNA from 1 species
CAACCCUUAAGCCCUGUUGCUUAGCGUUGGGGCCUACAGCGAUGUAGCCCCCUAAAGUCAGUGGCGGAGUCGGUCUCACACUCUAGACGUAGUAACUAUAUUAUCGUCUGUAGUUGGGUCGGUCCCUGCCGUAAAACCCCCACAUCUAAAGG